CAGUAGCGUAUAUUAAAGUUGUUGCAGUUAAAAAGCUCGUAGUUGGAUGUUGGGUGGUAUGCUUUGGGUUCUGGACGACAUUUUUGGUUGUCUGGGAUUUGAUUGAGCAUUUGUCACCAACCUGGUCUUAUGUGAUAUUACAUCACACAAGACCACCUUUACUUUGAAAAAAUUGGAGUGAUUCAAGCAGGCUGAAUUAAACAAGUGCGUUUAACUUUUGCUUCUGCACAUGUUAGCAUGGAAUAAUGCAAGAGGACUUGGGUUUUCUCUUUCAUUGGUUUCAGGAAUCCGAGUAAUGAUUGAUAGGGACAGUUGGGGGUGCUCGUACUCGGCGGCCAGAGGUGAAAUUCUUGGAUUCGCUGAAGACGAACAACUGCGAAAGCAUUCACCAAGGAUGUCUUCUUUAA
rnacentral:rRNA from 1 species